CUGGAGGUAUCAGAAGUGCGAAUGCUGACAUAAGUAACGAUAAAGCGGGUGAAAAGCCCGCUCGCCGGAAGACCAAGGGUUCCUGUCCAACGUUAAUCGGGGCAGGGUGAGUCGACCCCUAAGGCGAGGCCGAAAGGCGUAGUCGAUGGGAAACAGGUUAAUAUUCCUGUACUUGGUGUUACUGCGAAGGGGGGACGGAGAAGGCUAUGUUGGCCGGGCGACGGUUGUCCCGGUUUAAGCGUGUAGGCUGGUUUUCCAGGCAAAUCCGGAAAAUCAAGGCUGAGGCGUGAUGACGAGGCACUACGGUGCUGAAGCAACAAAUGCCCUGCUUCCAGGAAAAGCCUCUAAGCAUCAGGUAACAUCAAAUCGUACCCCAAACCGACACAGGUGGUCAGGUAGAGAAUACCAAGGCGCUUGAGAGAACUCGGGUGAAGGAACUAGGCAAAAUGGUGCCGUAACUUCGGGAGAAGGCACGCUGAUAUGUAGGUGAAGUCCCUCGCGGAUGGAGCUGAAAUCAGUCGAAGAUACCAGCUGGCUGCAACUGUUUAUUAAAAACACAGCACUGUGCAAACACGAAAGUGGACGUAUACGGUGUGACGCCUGCCCGGUGCCGGAAGGUUA
rnacentral:rRNA from 1 species